rnacentral:tRNA from 1 species
GGGUGGGUUGGCUCAGUGGUUAGAGUGAAGGUCUUGUGACCGAAAGGUUGCGGGAUCGAAUCCCGCUAGAGCUG